rnacentral:rRNA from 1 species
AUACAUGCAGUCGAACGCUUCUUUUUCCACCGGAGCUUGCUCCACCGGAAAAAGAGGAGUGGCGAACGGGUGAGUAACACGUGGGUAACCUGCCCAUCAGAAGGGGAUAACACUUGGAAACAGGUGCUAAUACCGUAUAACAAUCGAAACCGCAUGGUUUUGAUUUGAAAGGCGCUUUCGGGUGUCGCUGAUGGAUGGACCCGCGGUGCAUUAGCUAGUUGGUGAGGUAACGGCUCACCAGGGCCACGAUGCAUAGCCGACCUGAGAGGGUGAUCGGCCACAUUGGGACUGAGACACGGCCCAAACUCCUACGGGAGGCAGCAGUAGGGAAUCUUCGGCAAUGGACGAAAGUCUGACCGAGCAACGCCGCGUGAGUUAAGAAGGUUUUCGGAUCGUAAAACUCUGUUGUUAGAGAAGAACAAGGAUGAGAGUAACUGUUCAUCCCUUGACGGUAUCUAACCAGAAAGCCACGGCUAACUACGUGCCAGCGGCCGCGGUAAUACGUAGGUGGCAAGCGUUGUCCGGAUUUAUUGGGCGUAAAGCGAGCGCAGCCGGUUUCUUAAGUCUGAUGUGAAAGCCCCCGGCUCAACCGGGGAGGGUCAUUGGAAACUGGGAGACUUGAGUGCAGAAGAGGAGAGUGGAAUUCCAUGUGUAGCGGUGAAAUGCGUAGAUAUAUGGAGGAACACCAGUGGCGAAGGCGGCUCUCUGGUCUGUAACUGAMGCUGAGGCUCGAAAGCGUGGGGGCAAACGGGAUUAGAUACCCUGGUAGUCCA